rnacentral:tRNA from 1 species
GGAGAGGUGUCCGAGUCUGGCUGAAGGAGCACGACUGGAAAUCGUGUAAACUCGAAAGGGUUUCGUGGGUUCAAAUCCCACCCUCUCCG